ACUUUAAUAAUUUAAAUAAAAUAAUGGUCUUGUAAAUCAUAAAUAAGCCCUAGCUUUUAAAGUA
rnacentral:tRNA from 1 species